CCCCCGUGCCUUGCUCACAGCUUCCAGCAGAAGAGAGGCACCCAGCCUGGAAGGGCCCCGCACCCGCCCCCCGUGCCAGGCCCCAGCCUUGUGGGCAGUUAUUAGCACAAGGCCUUCCCGCAGUUGCCCCCUUGCCCCCCCCCAUGGGCAGAAGCACGAAGCCCCCGUGGCUGCCGAUUCCCUGUGGCACGAAGAUUGACCCCCAUGAGCGCUGGGUUGUGGGGCCUGUGCUUCCUUAAGCCACGUAUUACGCUGCUCCCACCCCUGUGCGCUGCUAGGCCAACAGCCAGGAAGGGCAAGCCCGAGCGGCUCGUGUCCCAGGGCUGCACAGGAGCUGCAGCGCUUUGUUCCCCACGAUGAUUUCAUGCCGGGGGAAUGCAGACGCCAGCCUGUCCUUCUGACACCCGGCACUUAAGGUGGCUCGCGUCCGGGCAGGUUGGGGCUGGUCUCCCCUUGUCUCCGGCAUCCAUUAAGAGGAGCAAAGCUCUGGACGGGGGAUACUGGAACCUGCUUGUUUGAGGGGAGCGAGGGGACUGCCAGCUCUGCAAUCGGCUCCCGCGGGACAGAGCUGUAGGGAGAGAAGUAGGAUCUGGGGGGACGGGGAGGACACAUUUAGUGAGCUCGUGGCUGCAUCUUGGCGAGAGGAACUGAGGUGAGGAGUCAAGGGGGCAAUUCUCUUCCACAUCAUGUAAAGAGAGAGCGAGGGCAGGGAGCAGCUUCGAGGCUGCCACGGGCACCGGGGGGCAACAACAGCUCUGCCUACAGCACAGCACCGGUGAGUGAAGCCUGCGGCCAGGCCCUGGCCCUGGCAGCAUCCUGCCUCCCAGCACUGCUCUCCCAGGGACCACGGCCUACACGCGGCUGGCGGGGUGCAGAGGACAAGCAGGCUGUUAGUCUGCGCCCGGCUGGCGGGCUGUGCGCGGGGAGAGUGUGCAGAGCGGUGACGAGCUGUUCGCCACGCACUGUGCCGGGUAGAGAGGGCCCCAGACCCGUAAAGCAGGGGAGAGAAUGGAUGCUCACCUCCCAGCGCUGUGAACCGAGUCAUCCACGUGCCGUUGGGUGCUUCCAGCCUCCCAGUGAAACCCGGGCUCCUCUAUGGGCUGGGGGAUCCCCGCUGACAGAAGGUGGCAGCUCGCCACUUCCUUUCCCUUUCUGUCCGUGACAAGGAGUUUAGCAGUCACAGGUUUGCUGGACUUUGACGGCCAUGCGAGCGCUUCUGCUGGGCCCUCCGCCAGCACCCGUGCAUCGCAGCUGGGGCACCGGGCCAGUCACCGCAGCCCUGCCCAGGCUGGCUCCGACCCUCGUAAGCAGCCAGGCGAGCAUGGCCAUAGCUGGCUCGGAUGCAAAGUGAUUGCCACCAGCUUUGACAUCCCUCGGUCCGUCAGAUGGCCCUUUCCCAAGGCGUGGGUCACCGGUCGCUAGCAGUCUUGGACAUCUCCUUUGCUCUUGCAACCAGGCACCAGAAGGCUCCUUCUCCGCAGAUCCAGCAUUUCUCACGUGACGUGAUCUCAUUAGAGCUCGGUGAGAAGCCUUAACCACCUGCAGGCCCUGGCGUCCCCUGCCUCGUGGCUAUGCCACGCAGCCCUGCAGCCUUCUGCUUGUUCAUCUCAUCCAGGCAUCCUCUACCUCACUCUCUCAUUCGUUUAGCCAAGGCUUUCGUCAGAGACCAGCCCUGCACCCUGCGGUCUUGCUCUCUGCUCACAGCUCUCAGGAAUGCCUCCCCCUGACCCGGCUCUUCCCAGGCUCUGCCAGCACCUCGCCUCCCUCAUCAGUAACAGAGCAUCCAGGGAAACCGAAGUGUUUGGCCAGAGGCAUCCACCUUUCUGGGGCUGCGGUCAGGUCAGAGGCCGUUCCUUCUUGCACAGAAGGAGCCAGUGCAGACAGCCGGAGCACUGCAAGCAGGGGUGGCAUAUGUGAUGUUGGCAGAGGAGCAGGGGAGCGAACCCACAUUGUCUGCGAUGACGGUCUGCAUUGGUGAGGGGGCGUCACUCGCAUCUGGGGCUGGAGCAAGAUCUGGCACCUUGGAGAGAAGAGGAGUCAGGUAGCCUGUUGCUGGAGAGACGCCGUGUGAGGCUGGGGGCUGCCGGUCAGCCAGGACACGUUUGUCCCCCAUGGCUAUCUUGAGAUGGCCACACUUCCAGAGGUAUUUCAUGAUGUGUCUAAGGCGUUCAAGCUGGGGGCUGUAGGUGACAGCCAGAAGGACUCUGUUGUCCUUGUCUUGGAUUGAUAUUGCAGCAGGGCAGAGCAGGGCUCGGAGUUCGGCUCCGUGGCUUUGCAUGGCUGCAGUUUUAGGGUGGUGUUGAGACUGUAGGAGUCCUUGCUCCAGAUCCUUAGGCGUGCAUCCUGGCCAGAGGGAUCAGAGCAGAUACGGUGGUAACGUAGAGCUUGGCUGGAGACGCUGGACCUAGCAGCGUGUUCGGGAUGAGAACUACUGGCGUGGAGGUCGCUGUAGUGGCCGGUUGCUUUCCAACACUAUGUGGAGGUGAAGUGACCAUCACAAACUUUCACAGGGGUGUCCAACCAAUGAAUAUGCUGAGGGGAGUCAGUUUGACGGGGUGGGGGGGAACCAUUCGGAUCCUCUCUGUCAAGUCUAACCUGUUCUUGAACAUUUCCAGGCCUCGAGAGUCUGCACCUUUUCUAGGCAGCCUGUUCCAGUGCUUUAUUGCCCUCAGAGUGAGGAAAUCCUUUCUGAUUGCCAGCCUAAAUUUCCUCUGUUAUAGUUUGAGGCCUUUGCUCCCAAUUCUGACUCCUUCAGCCACAGGGAAAAGUCUAUCUCCACCCGCCGUAUAGCAGCAGUUCGAGGUCUCCCAGCCUGUCCUUGAAAGCCAAGCUUCCCAGACCUCCCAGCAUUUUUGUCCCUCUCCAAUGGACUCGUUCCGAUCUGUCCACAUCCUUCUUGAAGUGUGAGGCCCAAAGCUGGACACGGGAUGCCAGUGCCCUGCGUCCAACCCGCACAAGUUGCAUCGUCCCUUCCACCUCGCUCGUGCAUCUAAUGGGCUCGUGAUUUCCAUCCGCACCUGGAGAAACUGCCUGGAGCUGAAGCGACUUACCCAGUGGCACAGCGUGAGUCCGUGGCAGAGACCCGAUGCCGAGCCCACCGGCUCUCAUCCACAAAGCCACCGCAGGCGCCUGGCUCGAGCCUCCGGUCACCUCACAACAAAGAGUCCGGGGCGGGCAGCCUCUCAGGAGUUUGCAUGUACAGUUUAUUUUUUUCACAACAGAGAAAUACAAAGAGCAAAAUUCUUUUUCUUUUUUUCCUGACGCCGGCCGGUCAGUUGGCUGGAUUUUAAACAUAAUGCAAACUUUCCAUUGGGAAGCCACAGCCUCUGCAGGGCUUCCCACUCACCACAAUGCAAGACAGAAACAGGGGAGGGGGGGCUUUUUUUUUCCUUUUUCUUUUUUUAAUAAGGUAUUAACUAGCUCUAGAGACAUGUGGCCUGGAUUCUCAUAUAGAAAAAAAAGGAAACAAACAAAAAAAAAAGAGAUGUGUUAACAGUAUGUAUAAGAGGCCUAUUUACACGGUAUUAACAUGCUGACAAAAAAGGUUACAAUAUUGAAUAUCGUACAACAUCACGUCAGAAACAAAGAGCAGGGGACAGGGCCGAGGAAUAAAAAGAGGUUCAAAUUAAUAAACAGAGGAGUAGGCAAUAAACAAACAA